rnacentral:lncRNA from 1 species
UCUGCAACUAAAGGAACUUGCCCCGAUCCUUAGAAAUACAAGACCCAGCUGUGGUCACUGUUUCUUGUGGCAGCUCGGUGGCCCACAAGCGUCCCCACUGAUUGGAGAGUGUGUCCAGGGCAGUGCUGGGGCUGCCCUGGCCGCUGCCUGACGUGACCGACUAACCUGGUUCUCGGCUGAAACCGAUUUUUCUGCAGCCUGAGCUGACUCUGGAGCAGGAGGAUUUGGCCGAAGGGAAGCACGGGAAAGCUGCCAAGCGAAGUCACAAGAGAAAGCAGAAGCCAGAAGAGGAGGCGGGUGCUCCGGUGCCCGAGGACGCCACCUUCAGCGAAUACUCAGAGAAAGAGACGGAGUUCACAGGCAGUGUAGGCGACGAGACCAAUUCCGCAGUACAGAGCAUUCAGCAGGUAGUGGUGACCCUGGGUGACCCAAAUGUGACCACACCAUCGAGCUCAGUCGGCUUAACCAACAUCACCGUGACCCCCAUCACCACUGCGGCCGC